rnacentral:misc_RNA from 1 species
UGCGAAGGGGGCUAGCGUUGCUCGGAAUUACUGGGCGUAAAGGGCGCGCAGGCGGCUCUUCAAGUCAGGCGUGAAAGCCCCGGGCUCAACCUGGGAAUGGCGCAUGGGACUGGAGGGCUAGAGUUCGGGAGAGGAGCGUGGAAUUCCCAGUGUAGAGGUGAAAUUCGUAGAUAUUGGGAAGAACACCGGUGGCGAAGGCGGCGCUCUGGACCGAGACUGACGCUGAGGCGCGAAAGCGUGGGGAGCAAACAGG